rnacentral:rRNA from 1 species
ACGCUCGACACCUACGAGAGGCAGCAGUGGGGAAUAUUGCACAAUGGGGGAAACCCUGAUGCAGCGACGCCGCGUGAGCGAAGAAGUAUUUCGGUAUGUAAAGCUCUAUCAGCAGGGAAGAAACUGACGGUACCUGACUAAGAAGCACCGGCUAAAUACGUGCCAGCAGCCGCGGUAAUCUGAGGCGGGCUGGCAAGGC